UGUUUGAUCCUGGCUCAGGACGAACGCUGGCGGCGUGCUUAACACAUGCCAAGUUGAACGGUAUGACAUGGAAGCUUGCUGAAGUGUCAUAUAGUAGCGGACGGGUGAGUAAUGCAUGAGAAGCUGCCAUUGGGAGGGGGACAACAGUUGGAAACGGCUGCUAAUACCCCGUAUGCCGGAAGGUGAAAGGGAGUAAUCCGCCCGAUGAGGUGCUCAUGUCCUAUCAGCUGGUUGGUGGGGUAACGGCCUACCAAGGCGACGACGGGUAGCUGGCCUGAGAGGGUGGUCAGCCACACUGGGACUGAGAUACGGCCCAGACUCCUACGGGAGGCAGCAGCUAAGAAUCUUCCUCAAUGGGGGAAACCCUGAAGGAGCGACACUGCGUGCAGGAUGAAGGCCCUUUGGGUUGUAAACUGCUUUUGUAGGGGAGAAAUAACCGAAUGGGAUGAUAGUACCCUACGAAUAAGUCCCAGGCUAAGCUA
rnacentral:rRNA from 1 species